rnacentral:rRNA from 1 species
CAGCAGCCGCGGGAAUACGAAGGGUGCAAGCGUUAAUCGGAAUUACUGGGCGUAAAGGGUGCGUAGGCGGUGAGUUAAGUCUGUUGUGAAAUACCCGGGCUCAACCUGGGAAUGGCAAUGGAUACUGGCUCGCUAGAGUGUGAUAGAGGAUGGUGGAAUUCCCGGUGUAGCGGUGGAAUGCGUAGAGAUCGGGAGGAACAUCAGUGGCGAAGGCGGCCAUCUGGAUCAACACUGACGCUGAAGCACGAAAGCGUGGGGAGCAAACAGGAUUAGAUACCCCAGUAGUCCCUGUCUCUUAUAC